GACGAACGCUGGCGGCGUGCUUAACACAUGCAAGUCGAACGAAGAGCGACGGAAGCUUGCUUCUAUCAAUCUUAGUGGCGAACGGGUGAGUAACGCGUAAUCAACCUGCCCUUCAGAGGGGGACAACAGUUGGAAACGACUGCUAAUACCGCAUACGAUCUAACCUCGGCAUCGAGGAUAGAUUAAAGGUGGCCUCUACAUGUAAGCUAUCACUGAAGGAUGGGAUUGCGUCUGAUUAGCUAGUUGGAGGGGUAACGGCCCACCAAGGCGAUGAUCAGUAGCAGGUCUGAGAGGAUGAACGGCCACAUUGGGACUGAGACACGGCCCAGACUCCUACGGGAGGCAGCAGUGGGGAAUCUUCCGCAAUGGACGAAAGUCUGACGGAGCAACGCCGCGUGAGUGAUGACGGCCUUCGGGUUGUAAAGCUCUGUUAAUCGGGACGAAAGGCCUUCUUGCGAAUAGUGAGAAGGAUUGACGGUACCGGAAUAGAAAGCCACGGCUAACUACGUG
rnacentral:rRNA from 1 species